UUCUUCUCUGUGAAUCUGCUAUUGUAAAUGUAGGAACCGUGUCAAAAGUUUGGUGAUGGCCCAUCCCGAGGAGAAAAUAAGUGAUGCAGAACAUCAAAACUGCAAUAUCUGUAGCAUCAAGUUGACGUUAUCAAAAGCCAAUAAACUUAAAAAGAAUAACACUGACAAUCAAAUCACAGAAAAGUCAUGAAAAACUCAUGGGACUGGUGAACAGAAAUACUGAGUUAUGAACAACUCAUGUGUAUCCUGCAAGGCUUCUGACAGAAUCAAGAUUUCUGGAAACGAAAACCCAACCGCCAGUGAUUAUGAUCCGUUGCAACAUUCACGUCCAUUGGAGACAGCCAAUGCACAUGUUCAGCCUGCUUGCGACGGGAGCACUGUUGAGAGCUACUGGUUCUAGCGUUCGAGUGUUUUCUCAGAAAGGCACGCAAGACUUAAUCGAUCAAGUUAGAAAACUGAUAAUUCCUCAUACUGACCCAGUCACAGAGGAAAGUUGUAUGAUGAAAGUAACUAAUCUUUAUUACACAGGAAAGAUAUUAAUCUUCCUACUUGGAGUGAA